UAUAAGACGAGAAGACCCCAUGGAGCUUCAAACCCAACUACACCCCUAGCUCUUAUAGCCCCACAACCCCCCUAGGCACCGUGUGCUUGGUUUUAGGUUGGGGCGACCGCGGAGUACAAUAAAACCUCCACAAUGAAUGGGAACACCCCCUUAUCUGAGGGCCACACCCCCUAAGAAUUAGAACACUAACAUAAAAUGAUCCAUUACUUGAUCAAUGAACCAAGUUACCCUGGGGAUAACAGCGCAAUCCAUUUCAAGAGCCCCUAUCGACAAAUGGGUUUACGACCUCGAUGUUGGAUCAGGGUACCCCAGUGGUGCAGCAGCUACUAACGGUUCGUUUGUUCAACGAUUAAAACCCU
rnacentral:rRNA from 1 species